UGGGGAAUAUUGCACAAUGGGCGAAAGCCUGAUGCAGCAACGCCGCGUGAGGGACGACGGCCUUCGGGUUGUAAACCUCUUUUAGCAAGGAAGAAGCGAAAGUGACGGUACUUGCAGAAAAAGCGCCGGCUAACUACGUGCCAGCAGCCGCGGUAAUACGUAGGGCGCAGGCGUUAUCCGGAAUUAUUGGGCGUAAAGAGCUCGUAGGCGGUUUGUCGCGUCUGCUGUGAAAACCCGAGGCUCAACCUCGGGCCUGCAGUGGGUACGGGCAGACUAGAGUGCGGUAGGGGAGAUUGGAACUCCUGGUGUAGCGGUGGAAUGCGCAGAUAUCAGGAAGAACACCGAUGGCGAAGGCAGAUCUCUGGGCCGUAAACUGACGCUGAGGAGCGAAAAGGGUGGGGAGCAAAACAGGCUUAGAAUACCCUGGUAGUCCACCCCGUAAAACGUUGGGAACUAAGUUGUGGGGUCCAUUCCACGGAUUCCGUGACGCAGCUAACGCAUUAAGUUCCCCGCCUGGGGAGUACGGCCGCAAGGUUAAAAACUCAAAUGAAUUGACGGGGUCAAUAGCUGUUUCCU
rnacentral:rRNA from 1 species